rnacentral:rRNA from 1 species
UACGGAGGGAGCUAGCGUUGUUCGGAAUUACUGGGCGUAAAGCGCACGUAGGCGGCUUUGUAAGUUAGAGGUGAAACCCGGGGCUCAACCCCGGAAUUGCCUUUAAGACUGCAUCGCUUGAAUCCAGGAGAGGUGAGUGGAAUUCCGAGUGUAGAGGUGAAAUUCGUAGAUAUUCGGAAGAACACCAGUGGCGAAGGCGGCUCACUGGACUGGUAUUGACGCUGAGGUGCGAAAGCGUGGGGAGCAAACAGG